rnacentral:snRNA from 1 species
UGACUUUUUUGACUGUAACAAUUGUCACUCCAUUGAUCACUAGCAUUGAUCUGAUUGCUCUGGCUAGCUAGACUUCCUCCCUCAUUUUUCCUUCCAUGUAUGUCCCUGGAAGACAUCCUCUUGGUCAAAAAGGAUAACCAGUGAGAGAAGUCCACAUACUGUUUGUCCGUGAAGGGUAAAUGAGCAGGUUCUCUGCUAGAACAAGCUUCUGAGAUCCAUUUGUAGGAGACUGUGACUGUGCAUAAGCCAAGCUUUCAAGAAUUCAGAUAUCCAAAUAAGGUGCUGCCUCUGGCAGUCUGCUUCUCU